rnacentral:rRNA from 1 species
UACGGAGGAUCCAAGCGUUAUCCGGAAUUAUUGGGCGUAAAGCGCGUGUAGGCGGCUUUGCAAGUCGGGUGUGAAAGCCCUCAGCUCAACUGAGGAAGUGCGCCCGAAACUGCAGAGCUUGAGUACCGGAGAGGGUGGCGGAAUUCCCCAAGUAGAGGUGAAAUUCGUAGAUAUGGGGAGGAACACCGGUGGCGAAGGCGGUCUGCUGGGCCGUUGCUGACGCUGAGGCGCGACAGCGUGGGGAGCAAACAGG